GGAGUUUGAAAAUUUUAAGAGUUAAUAGAUUUUUAAAAGUUAAGUAGAUUUGAUGAAUUCUUACCCAAUGUAUUGUAUAAAUUGUCAUUGAUUAUUAUAGAUUUUCAUAUAUACUUUUCUUUCCAAACUUAUCUUUCUAUUAUUUUGUUUUAAAAAGAAUUUCUUUCAUAAAAUAGAACUAUUUGAAAAUUAAAUAAAA
rnacentral:lncRNA from 1 species